GUUGAUGGGAAUGUUGUUUGGCUCGAGGUAAAUGCAUGGUCUUAAUUCUUUUCAUCUUUGAAGCUUAAUUUAUGAUAAGGGUUUCAUUCUUUUUGAUCCCUUGAAACAAAGAAAGCUUUAAAGGUUGGAUUUUGAGGCCAUCCCUUUGUGUGAUCUCGGACCAGGCUUCAUUCCCGUUAAC
rfam:Cajanus cajan CcLG08_1168, whole genome shotgun sequence.